AGCAGCCGCGGUAAUUCCAGCUCCAAUAGCGUAUAUUAAAGUUGUUGCAGUUAAAAAGCUCGUAGUUGAACUUCGGGGUUUACCCAUUGGUCAGGCUUAAUUGUCUGUACUGGUGAGAUAAAUCUCUACCUUCUGAGGAACUUUCAUGCCAUUUAGUUGGUGUGAUAGGAAAUCAGGACUGUUACUUUGAAAAAAUUAGAGUGUUUAAAGCAGGCUAACGUCUGAAUACAUUAGCAUGGAAUAAUGAAAUAGGACGGAUUGGUUCUAUUUCGUUGGUUUCUAGGAUCACCGUAAUGAUUAAUAGGGAUAGUUGGGGGCAUUAGUAUUCAAUUGUCAGAGGUGAAAUUCUUGGAUUUAUUGAAGACUAACUAUUGCGAAAGCAUUUGCCAAGGAUGUUUUCAUUAAUCAAGAACGAAAGUUAGGGGAUCGAAGACGAUCAGAUACCGUCGUAGUCUUAACCAUAAACUAUGCCGACUAGGGAUCGGACGAAGUUAAUUUUAUAAUUGACGCGUUCG
rnacentral:rRNA from 1 species